rnacentral:rRNA from 1 species
UACGUAGGAGGCGAGCGUUGUCCGGAAUCACUGGGUGUAAAGCGCGUGUAGGCGGCCUGCCAAGUCUGCUGUGAAAGCGCCUGGCUUAACCGGGCGAGGUCGGUGGAAACUGGCGGGCUGGAGGACGGUAGAGGGGGGUGGAAUUCCCGGUGUAGUGGUGAAAUGCGUAGAGAUCGGGAGGAACACCGAUGGCGAAGGCAGCCCCCUGGGCUAGCACUGACGCUCAGGCACGAAAGCGUGGGGAGCAAACAGG